CAGCAGCCGCGGUAAAACGAAGGGGGCUAGCGUUGUUCGGAAUUACUGGGCGUAAAGCGCACGUAGGCGGAUAUUUAAGUCAGGGGUGAAAUCCCAGAGCUCAACUCUGGAACUGCCUUUGAUACUGGGUAUCUUGAGUAUGGAAGAGGUGAGUGGAAUUCCGAGUGUAGAGGUGAAAUUCGUAGAUAUUCGGAGGAACACCAGUGGCGAAGGCGGCUCACUGGUCCAUUACUGACGCUGAGGUGCGAAAGCGUGGGGAGCAAACAGGAUUAGAUACCCCCGUAGUCCCUGUCUCUUAUAC
rnacentral:rRNA from 1 species